GACGAACGCUGGCGGCGUGCUUAACACAUGCAAGUCGAACGGAAAGGCCCUGCUUUUGUGGGGUGCUCGAGUGGCGAACGGGUGAGUAACACGCGAGUAACCUGCCCUUGACUUUGGGAUAACUUCAGGAAACUGGGGCUAAUACCGGAUAGGAGCUCCUGCUGCAUGGUGGGGGUUGGAAAGUUUCGGCGGUGGGGGAUGGACUCGCGGCUUAUCAGCUUGUUGGUGGGGUAGUGGCUUACCAAGGCUUUGACGGGUAGCCGGCCUGAGAGGGUGACCGGCCACAUUGGUACUGAGAUACGGCCCAGACUCCUACGGGAGGCAGCAGUGGGGAAUAUUGCACAAUGGGCGGAAGCCUGAUGCAGCAACGCCGCGUGCGGGAUGACGGCCUUCGGGUUGUAAACCGCUUUCGCCUGUGCCGAAGCGUGAGUGACGGUAAUGGGUAAAGAAGCACCGGCUAACUACGUG
rnacentral:rRNA from 1 species